rnacentral:rRNA from 1 species
UACGUAGGAGACGAGCGUUGUCCGGAGUUACUGGGCGUAAAGGGUGCGCAGGUGGCGGCGCGCGUGGGGGGUGAAAUCGCCCGGCUUAACUGGGCGGGGGCCUUCCAGACGGCGUGGCUUGAGCAGCGGAGGGGGACGUGGAAUUCCGGGUGGAGCGGUGAAAUGCGUAGAGAUCCGGAGGAACACCAGUGGCGAAGGCGGUUGCCUGGGGCUUUGCUGACGCUGAUGCGCGAAAGCGUGGGGAGCGAUCCGG